rnacentral:rRNA from 1 species
ACGCUGGCGGCACGCCUAACACAUGCAAGUCGAACGAAGUAGCAAUACUUAGUGGCAGACGGGUGAGUAACAUGUAGGUAUCUGCCCUUUGGCCUGGAAUAACACGAGGAAACUUGUGCUAAUACCGGAUAAGUCUUUACGGAGAAAGCUUUAUGCACCAUUGGAUGAGCCUGCACUUGAUUAGUUUGUUGGUGGGGUAAUGGCCUACCAAGACUGUGAUCAAUAGCUGAUUUGAGAGGAUGAUCAGCCACAUUGGGACUGAGACACGGCCCAAACUCCUACGGGAGGCAGCAGUGGGGAAUCUUGCACAAUGGAGGAAACUCUGAUGCAGCGAUGCCGCGUGAGUGAAGAAGGCCCUUGGGUUGUAAAGCUCUUUCGUCGGGGAAGAAAAUGACUGUACCCGAAUAAGAAGGUCCGGCUAACUUCGUGCCAGCAGCCGCGGUAAUACGAAGGGACCUAGCGUAGUUCGGAAUUACUGGGCUUAAAGAGUUCGUAGGUGGUUGAAAAAGUUAGUGGUGAAAUCCCAGAGCUUAACUCUGGAACUGCCAUUAAAACUUUUCAGCUAGAGUAUGAUAGAGGAAAGCAGAAUUUCUAGUGUAGAGGUGAAAUUCGUAGAUAUUAGAAAGAAUACCAAUUGCGAAGGCAGCUUUCUGGAUCAUUACUGACACUGAGGAACGAAAGCAUGGGUAGCGAAGAGGAUUAGAUACCCUCGUAGUCCAUGCCGUAAACGAUGUGUGUUAGACGUUGGAAAUUUAUUUUCAGUGUCGCAGGGAAACCGAUAAACACACCGCCUGGGGAGUACGACCGCAAGGUUAAAACUCAAAUGAAUUGACGGGGACCCGCACAAGUAGUGGAGCAUGUGGUUUAAUUCGAAGAUACGCGCAGAACCUUACCAACACUUGACAUGUUCGUCGCGACUCUAAGAGAUUAGAGUUUUCGGUUCGGCCGGACGAAACACAGGUGCUGCAUGGCUGUCGUCAGCUCGUGUCGUGAGAUGUUGGGUUAAGUCCCGCAACGAGCGCAACCCUCACUUUUAGUUGCCAUCAUUAAGUUGGGCACUCUGAAAGAACUGCCAGUGAUAAGCUGGAGGAAGGUGGGGAUGACGUCAAGUCCUCAUGGCCCUUACGUGUUGGGCUACACACGUGCUACAAUGGUAUCUACAACAGGAAGCAAGACUGCGAAGUUAAGCAAAUCCCUAAAAGAUACCUCAGUUCGGAUUGCACUCUGCAACUCGAGUGCAUGAAGCUGGAAUUACUAGUAAUCGUGGAUCAGCGUGCCACGGUGAAUGCGUUCCCGGGUCUUGUACACACCGCC